AUUGAACGCUGGCGGCAUGCCUUACACAUGCAAGUCGAACGGUAACGCGGGGCAACCUGGCGACGAGUGGCGAACGGGUGAGUAAUACAUCGGAACGUGCCCAGUAGUGGGGGAUAGCCCGGCGAAAGCCGGAUUAAUACCGCAUACGACCUACGGGUGAAAGCGGGGGACCGCAAGGCCUCGCGCUAUUGGAGCGGCCGAUGUCAGAUUAGGUAGUUGGUGGGGUAAAGGCCUACCAAGCCUACGAUCUGUAGCUGGUCUGAGAGGACGACCAGCCACACUGGGACUGAGACACGGCCCAGACUCCUACGGGAGGCAGCAGUGGGGAAUUUUGGACAAUGGGCGAAAGCCUGAUCCAGCCAUGCCGCGUGCGGGAAGAAGGCCUCGG
rnacentral:rRNA from 1 species